rnacentral:lncRNA from 1 species
UAAAAUUUGACCAUCUAACUGCAGGCAUAACAGUCCAUAGCUCAUCAAUCCAUAUUUAAUAUGCUGAUGGAGGUUCUCAAUUGUCAAAAAACUGCUAAGUUAUUCAACGGGCAGUUUCAUUAAGAACAUAAUCCAAGUUUAUAGCAGUUGGAGGAUGUCAUACCAAGCUGUGUCACAUGUAACUCUAAUGAGUCAAUCUCCCAAGUCUAAUUUAUUAUCACAAAAGUAGUUAUUUUCAAAAUUACUAUUUCAACGCUUUCAGCACGCAACGGUACCAAGAUUGGAAAGGCUGGAUUCAUACUACCUAUAACCGAAAUACUGUAUAAAUUAUGUGACGUAGCCAUGACCCCAGGAAAGUCAAGAGAAUAGGUUAUAAGAAUAAAUUCUUUCUAAUCCUUGGUUGGCCGGUGUCAACAGAACAAAUGCUAAUGGAUUGGAUGACUGGCUGGUUAGCUGUUAAGUAUUCACUGUUCACCUGUUUCAUGCAAUGACAAUAUACAGGGGCCUCCAUGUGGAGGGCCUGAAAGAUUAAAGUCUGUCUUCCCCCAUAUCUUUGAGGUAAAUCUUUCCAGUUUUUUUUUUUUACAUCCAUUGAUACAUUUGUCAUAAUUCUUUCCAUAAAAGGCAAUAAUGAACAGGUAAACAAAUCUUAUUCCCAAGAAAGCUUUGUAUAAUUUAGAUAAUAUAUGCGAUUGACAAGGAGAAUUAAUCAGUGAACAAAGUCUAGAUCGUGACGAAGCCUAGCGACAUGCAGUGCCCUCAAAUCUCAAACUGUAUUCAAAAUUUCCACAUCCACAGUUUCCGGGAAGCACAGUAGAGUCACACUAUCUGCGAGAAGGUGCGGCGAAGCACGCAACAGAAAACAAGUCCCAGAAUCCUACCCAGACUCCAGAUCCCAGAAUCCCGCACCGCAAAUCUAACCCGAGUGCCCAGUCGGCUGACUGCGGACGUGACCAAGUUGGGAACUGGGCUUCCACGAAAAGCCUGACCGCGGACGUACUUGGUGUUCGGGUGAGCGGUCCACUGUCCUCUCCCACCCGUCUCCAGCCCCGGAAAGAUGGUGUCGCCCGGCUCCAGGCUCCUGGAGCAGGCUGUAAGGUAGCGCCCGCCCUACCCUGGAAUGUGGGCCUUGAGAGCGAGCGAGGUGGGAGGGACCCCAGCGGGGAGGCGGGCUGGGCCCGGGCGGCGAUAGG